AUGAUUCUUCCCAGAAGUGAGAGAAAACCGAAGAAGGAUGGACUGGCCACAGUCCUCAUCGCUUGCAUCCACCCUGACACUCAUCUGAAGGCUGUGGUUUGGCCUCAGGACCUCUGGCAGCAGCGCCCAGACCCACUGAGACGGUGUGUGGGGUUUGAAUUCAGUCUUCACGAUCGGCUUCUCCUGGGGAUUAGAAAAUCCAUAGCCAAAAGCCGUCUCCUGCCCCACCCACCUCCACCAUCUGCAGGAAGGAGACAGUGGAAGAGAGAGCCCCUCUUUUCCCUUGGGAUACUGUCAUGUUUGUGUCUGGCUGUGAUGCCCAGAGCGGCUGCACCUCGCCUCCACUUUGAAGAUGCAGCCAAUGGGCAGAGCCCAUGGGAUCCAGGAGAAGUGAAGUCAGAGCUUUGACAUCCUGUCUGGAGCAUGCCCUGCCAGGAUUUCUGGGCUGUGAGAUGACAAAUGUCCUUAAGUCUUAGACUAAUUUGAGUUGAGACCUUCUAUUGCUUAUAACAACAUCAUCCUAAGGAUGUUUUUGGGAGUCUGGGUCUUAUUCUGGGGCAAUGGAGAAUAGAUAAUGACUACUAGUGGGUGGGUGGAUGGAUGGAUGGAUAGAUAGAAGAAUGGAUCGGUGGAUGGAUCUAUGGAUGGAUAAAUGGAUCAAUGGAUGGAUGGAUCAAUGGAUGAGUGGGUGGAUGGAUGGAUGGUUGGAUGAAUGGUUGGAUGGUUGGAUGGAUGGAUGGAUGGAUGGAUGGAUGGAUGGGUGGAUGGAUGGAUGACGGAUGAUGGUCACCGCCUGGUCAAAAACCAUGAGGCUGCUAUAAAGGAAAUGGAUUGUCAGGAGGAGGUUUUGGGAGCCAGAAGCAGGAAGGAUUGGAAUCUGGUAGGAGUUGAGGGCCCACCAGUCCAUGCCAGCCCCACCUUUGCAAAGAACCUUCACCAGAGAUGGGAAGCCCCCCAUGGAGCAGUCAGCCCAUCCAGCUGCUGGGAUGGUGCCAUGACCUAGAAGAACAUCAGGCAUCCAGUGCAACACGGCUCCCACUGUUGCUUUCAUGCCGACAUGAGUAAAACUCUGCAGAGGCACAACAUGCAUUGUCUCUCCACCCACAGAGACAAGCGGAGUGUCUGUGUGUCUGACUGUGUCAACACACAGUCGUUAAAAAGCAUGUUUCACUGAAAACACAACCACAUAAUCACAGCCAUUACCUCCUAUUCCCUUUAAUAAACGAAGAAGUAAAUAUCAGACCUAAAGCCCAAGAAAUGUCAGUGUGGGGACUUGGGAGAAGAAAACAGAUCACAAAAUUAGGGCAUUUACUUUCCUGUAUGCUUGCUACUCCAAUAAGCCACCCUGCCCGAGGCAGCCACCCUGUGUAUCCUAAAUGCUCAUUAACUGCUGGGUCAUGGCCAACAGAUGCUCAGGGUGCUUACGGAACAUUGGUGUGGAGUUCAUCUGAAAUCUCUUGGGAGACCCUAUUGGGGAAGGCACGGGGAAUCACACUUGGUUGGGCUUAUAUCAUGGCUCUGUCAUUUCCUACCUGGAUGAUCUUGAGGUGGUCUCUCCUCUGCACCUGUAACGUGGCGGUUUGAGGGGGGCUUUUUUCUGUAAGGGUUAGGUCCAUGUCAGGGAGAGUAGAGGAGCUGGGCUCCUUGGAGGAAUUGAAAGCAGGGAGUUAAGUUGGGAGGGAGGAAGGGUGUAAUGUGUAGGUGACAGAAGGGCUGGCUUUUUCAUGUUUUCUCACCAUGAUUUUUAGCCUCCUAAAACGUUAUUCUCUGCCAUAGAU
rnacentral:lncRNA from 10 species